rnacentral:rRNA from 1 species
AUACGUAGGCAGCAAGCGUUGUUCGGAGUUACUGGGCGUAAAGCGUGCGUAGGCGGUUCCGUCAGUUCGGUGUGAAAUCUCCCGGCUCAACUGGGAGGGUGCGCCGAAUACUGCGGGGCUUGAGCGCGGGAGAGGAAAGCGGAAUUCCUGGUGUAGCGGUGAAAUGCGUAGAUAUCAGGAGGAACACCGGUGGUGAAGACGGCUUUCUGGACCGCUGCUGACGCUGAGGCACGAAAGCGUGGGGAGCAAACAGGAUUAGAUACCCCGGUAGUCC